AACCUUGCACGGGCUCAAUUUCUGUUCCAUGUUUAAUGUUAUAGAUCGUUAUAGCUGGUAUCUUAUUUAUGUGCUUAUUUUAGCCUUUACAGACAAGUUGUAAACAUGUCUGGCCAGUUUUGCAAAAUAUCCGUGUGCAAACGGCCGAAGAGGAAGGAAUGGCAUCUACUGUCAUUUUUACGCUACCGUUAGUGUCAAUGAAUUAGUCUUUUUUAAUCAUCAUUUUUAAUAUCUAAUUUCGUAGCUAAGUUAGGGUCAUAUUGGUCCGAGAUUACUCUGAUGUCUAACAUGUCUAACAUGUCUAACGGCUGUUUUGACAGACAAGCUAAAAAACAGCCGUUGGACGUCAGAGUAAUCUCGAACUAGGGUCAUAUGUAUGUGGGGUACCCCAUAACUUCCCUCGGGACAGUUUCUACUCCUUACCCCUAACUAUAUUUCCCUUCCCAUUUUACCCUAAAAUCCCCCCCCCCCUUUUUACUUCAAUACUUCCAUCUUGCCCCAAGACAAAAUAAAAAUGACAAAAUAUAUUUCCAAGAUACCCCCUUUUCUCUGAUCUCUCAUUCCCCUGACUCCUUACCCCUGUCCACCCCUCAAUAAAGGUCCGAGGUUUGCUUGAGAAUAUGUUAUAAUUGGCCUAACUUGUAAAUGAUAAACCCUACAGUAGGAGGCAAUACAUCUUAUUGAAGGAAUCAUCUUGAUCAAUCACAAUUUGUUUACCAUUAACCCCCCCCCUAAUUCUGUUAGGUAUACAAAAAUGUCUUAAGGUCUAGUAAUAGAAGUGUCAGGGUUAAUCAUGUACAGAAUGUGGCCAUAAGUAUUUGUCACUUGAGAUUUUUAGCUGUUCAUAUAUAUUGUAUAUAAAACUACAUUUUAAAAAAAAAAAUAUUUUGGAUUGAUUUUAAGCAUCCUGGUACCAAUAGAAGCAGUAUUAUCACAGGUUUAUUUUUUGGUUAUAUUUUUUUUUUUGUGUCUCAUUUUCAUUAUUUUCUGUUCAGAAAUCUGAUAUAUAUUCAACCAAAUUAAAUUAUAAAAAAAAUAUUUUAUGUGUUCUCAAGGGAAAACAAAAACACAUGAAAACGAACCUAUUAUCAAAUAAACACAUAUUAAUUUAGACCAUUCUACUUCUUUUAAGGUUACCCUUGCAUUGUCAGUCUUAUCAAACUUGCAUGUACCUCCCAAAUUUGGUUUCUGUUCUCCAACUUCAGUUUGCCUCUACCAAUGUUAUGAAACUAAUACACAAUUAAUGCAUAUAUAUAUGCUUACUACAUUGUACCAACAAACACACAUGAAGUUUGCAUUUUUGGUGGGGUCGCUUUUACUUUUCUAGAGUUAUGCCCUUUACAAAUUAAAAAAAAUGCUGAAUUUUUGUUCCUUUCUUUAACACAAGUUUGCUUCAUCCAAAUGUUCUGAAACUUAUAUGCAAUGCUUACUACAACAACACUCAGAUCAAGUACAAAUUUGGGUGGUGUCACUCUUUUCAUUCUUUAUAUGCAAGCGGCUGCUCAUCUGUGUCCCAUGGACACAUUACCAUAAUGAACUAGUCUACAUCUAUAUGCUUUUGAAUGUCAAUAAUUGUUGAUUUUCUGACAGAAUUACUCUGAUAUUUAAUUUCAGGCUGCAAGUACAUUUGUACAUGUACAUUGCAAAUGGAAGGAGUGAUCUUGGAAUGUUCAACUUUACUUGGAAACUAUUGGCAAAGUACUGACAGAAUUUCAUGAGAAGCCAGUAUCAUAUUCUAGUCUUGCAACCGGAAACUAUGCGUAAAGUGCUGAAACUUAAGAACAACAUUCUACAUGUAUAUAUGCAAUAUGUGUUGCCACAAUCCACUUAAGGAGCUAAGAUCAACUAUAAAUUGGAACUACAUGUAUAUGCUUUAGUGCUGUCAAAAUCCUUUAAAAAAUCCAAUCAAAAGGACCUACUUCACCUAUAUAUAUUUA
rnacentral:lncRNA from 1 species